ensembl:lncRNA
UUCGCAGUGGUUAUAUUCUACAAAGAUGCUGCAAACGCUGAAUUAAUGAAUACUGAAACUUUUUUGCCAGGAGUUAUAUGGGGUUAGGUUUCUGUAAGCCGCUGGUCACGACAUUUUCAUCAGCUGGUCAACGCAUACCUUGUUUUAUGGGUGUUUCUGUUUAAAGACAUUUUGUUUAAUAUAUGCUGUUGACUCGUUAACAUUGAACUCAAGGCCGACAGCACUAUAACUCUUGCCUGAAGAAAACUUAUCUAGCACACGUAUUUUUUCCAUAAGGCAUAUCGGAGCCUUCUUGUGCUUGAGAACACUAGACGGCACUUCAACACCACACGUGGCGGCCAUUUCAAACAGUGACGUCACCAGCAAACAGCCCAGAAAUGCGAAAAAUGUGGCGCCAAAUAGACGCUCGUUUACAGCGCUAGAGCUGAAACAAGAAGGUGGAGAGCAUCGCCUCGUUCAGCCUCAGCUGGGAACGCACACGUGUCAGGAGGCUCAAAUUUUCGCCACCCCUUGUAUGUGCACAAACAGUGAAAGUGCUAUAUUCAACAGCUGAAAGAAUUCACCACCAGCAGACCCAAGAAAUUUUAAAAGAAGUCCUUCAGGCAGAAGCAAGAAUCUAUCAGAUGAAAAUAUGGAUCUAUGCAAAGGAAGAGAGAGCACGGCAAAUGAGCCAUUAGUUGUCAUCUGUGGGAAAUAAAGGCUGUACCGGACUUGAUCCAUCCGGACCAGCGCCAGAAGUCACAAGUAAGUUUUUAAGGCAGAUGAAGGUAUGAACGCACAUUCGGCAGUGGCAGAGAACUGAAAACUCAUAAACUCAUAAACAAAAAUUGACGUUCAUUU